CAAUUGAAUGCUUGCGCGAAGGGAAGGAUCUAUCGUGCAAAUAUCCCCUCUUUGCAGAAUCACGCGGAUCCCAGGGGAUAAGAAUUGGAUCGGGUCUCAUCGGGUUCCAAACGAUGUAGUUUUUAAACCAUUGGAAUUGGUUUAUACGGUACCGUUUUUUACUUCCUUAUAAAGGCCAAACAAUGCCUUUAUUCAGCCAAACGAACACCACAACCCUAGCAUCCCCCUUUUAAUCCUUUCAGCCGAACCCUAACAUUCCUCUAAGAGCUGAUCUACCACCAUGAAUGGCCAUCAGCCCAUCCGAGCCUCAGAGUUAUUUUCAGCCUUAAGACCCCUUCUAUACUCCGAUUUCGACGAAGAAGAAGAAGUUUCAUGGUGUACUUUCAAGGUACAUUCGACGGCUUUUUAUAGCCAGAUUUACAGAGUAAAUAAAAACUAAAAUUACAUUUUCUUGCUAUCAUCUGCUGUAAAUUCUGUUAUUUUGUUCUUUCUCGUGCGUUCUUUUGCUGCGUUUAUUUUCCUUCUCACAGGUUCUAUUGACGUGGAGGCGUAUGGAGAAGAAACCCGUCGUGGAGAGGCCGUUCGUGGAAGCCCGCUUCUGGCUAGCUGCGGCGCUGGUGUUCCAGAAACCUCUAGGGUUUCUGGUGCCUUCCCGAUAUUGGGCUCACUUGGGCCAUUUAUGAAUUGGGUUAGGUUAAAGGGUUUGAUUGUAAUGGGACUUUGAAGUAGGGUCUUGUUGUAUGUUUGGGUUGUUUGGGUAUUGGGCCACUGUAGCUAGAUCAUAAUUUGGGUAGGGUUUGUUUUUACAUUUGGGCUGGUAUAGAUCUAGUAUUUGCUGAAAGUUGUAAGUGAACUUUUUGGGCUAUCUUAGUCUUGGAUAUUAUUUGUCUUUUAUUUUAAUUUAUUUGGGUUUAUUGAUCUGACUUAUUUAUUUAUUGUAAAUAAAUAAAUUAAAUGGGCCUGGGCAAAA